GCAUAUCAAUAAGCGGAGGAAAAGAAACCAACAGGGAUUGCCUCAGUAACGGCGAGUGAAGCGGCAACAGCUCAAAUUUGAAAUCUGGAGCCUUCGGCUUCCGAGUUGUAAUUUGAAGAGGAUGUUUCGGUGCGACCUGGGCCUAAGUUCCUUGGAACAGGAUGUCAUGGAGGGUGAGAAUCCCGUACAUGGCUGCAGGUUUGCUUCUAUGUGAAACUCCUUCGAAGAGUCGAGUUGUUUGGGAAUGCAGCUCAAAAUGGGUGGUAAAUUUCAUCUAAAGCUAAAUAUUGGGGGGAGACCGAUAGCGCACAAGUAGAGUGAUCGAAAGAUGAAAAGCACUUUGAAAAGAGAGUUAAACAGUACGUGAAAUUGUUGAAAGGGAAGCGCUUGCAAUCAGACUCGCCUUCAGUUGAUCAGCCUUCCUUCUGGUUGGUGCACUCUGCUGUUGGCGGGCCAGCAUCAGUUGGGGCGGCGGGACAAAGGUGGCAGGAAUGUGGCUCGCUUCGGUGAGUGUUAUAGCCUGCUGCGCCAUGCCGCCAGCCCCGACUGAGGUCCGCGGUUCUGCCUAGGAUGCUGGCUUAAUGGUUGUAAGCGACCCGUCUUGAAACACGGACC
rnacentral:rRNA from 1 species